rnacentral:rRNA from 2 species
CAAAACGACUCUCGGCAACGGAUAUCUCGGCUCUCGCAUCGAUGAAGAACGUAGCGAAAUGCGAUACUUGGUGUGAAUUGCAGAAUCCCGUGAACCAUCGAGUCUUUGAACGCAAGUUGCGCCCGAAGCCGUCAGGCCGAGGGCACGCCUGCCUGGGCGUCAC